rnacentral:rRNA from 1 species
GACGAACGCUGGCGGCGUGCCUAAUACAUGCAAGUCGAACGAGAGCGACCGGUGCUUGCACUGGUCAAUCUAGUGGCGAACGGGUGAGUAACACGUGGGUAACCUGCCCAUCAGAGGGGGAUAACAUCCGGAAACGGAUGCUAAAACCGCAUAGGUCUUCGAACCGCAUGGUUUGAAGAGGAAAAGAGGCGCAAGCUUCUGCUGAUGGAUGGACCCGCGGUGCAUCAGCUAGUUGGUGAGGUAACGGCUCACCAAGGCCGUGAUGCAUAGCCGACCUGAGAGGGUGAUCGGCCACAUUGGGACUGAGACACGGCCCAAACUCCUACGGGAGGCAGCAGUAGGGAAUCUUCCGCAAUGGACGCAAGUCUGACGGAGCAACGCCGCGUGAGUGAAGAAGGUUUUCGGAUCGUAAAACUCUGUUGUUAGAGAAGAACAAGUGCUAGAGUAACUGUUAGCGCCUUGACGGUAUCUAACCAGAAAGCCACGGCUAACUACGUG